rnacentral:rRNA from 1 species
GCUGAGGCCCCAGGAUGGGACCGCGGCCCUAUCAGGUAGUAGUGGGGUAACGGCCCACCUAGCCUACGACGGGUACGGGCCCUGAGAGGGGGAGCCCGGAGAUGGGCACUGAGACAAGGGUCUAGGCCCUAAGGGGCGCAGCAGGCGCGAAGAUUCCGCAAUGCCCGAAAGGGCGACGGAGUGAACCUGAGUGCCACCCGCUGAGGGUGGCUGUUCCCCUGUGUAAAAAGCAGGGGGCAGGAAGGGGAGGGCAAGGCUGGUGGCAGCCGCCGCGGUAAAACCAGCUCCCCGAGGGGUUCCCACGCAUACUGGGCCUAAAGCGUCCGUAGCCGGCCCUGUAAGUCUGCAGUUAAAUCCGCCUGUAGACAGGCGGGUUGCUGCAGAUACUGCAGGGCUAGGGAGCGGGAGGAGCCGGGGGUAUUCCCGGGGGAGCGGUAAAAUGCGUAGAUCCCGGGAGGACCACCAGUGGCGAAGGCGCCCGGCUUGAACGCGUCCGACGGUGAGGGACGAAAGCUGGGGGAGCAAACCGGAUUAGAUACCCGGGUAGUCCCAGCCGUAAACGAUGCCGGCUAGGUGCUGGCCAAGGUUUCGGCCUUGGCCAGUGUCGGAGCGAAGGCAUUAAGCCGGCCGCCUGAGGAGUACGGCCGCAAGGCUGAAACUUGAAGGAAUUGACGGGGGGGCACCACAAGGGGUGAAUGCCUGCGGCUUAAUUGGACUCAACGCCGGGAAUCUUACCGGGGGCGACAGCAGGAUGAAGGUCAGGCUGAAGACCUUACCAGACGCGCUGAGGGGUGGUGCAUGGCCGUCGCCAGCUCGUGCCGUGAGGUGUCCUGUUAAGUCAGGCAACGAGCGAGACCCCCGCCCCUAGUUGCCAGCGGCCUCCUUCGGGAGGGACCGGGCAAACUAGGGGGACCGCCUCCGAAGAGGAGGAGGAAGGUGGGGGCUACGGCAGGUCAGUUUGCCCUAAACCCCCGGGCCCCCCGCGGGCCUGCAUGG